GCUAGGGGGCCAUCCCGGCUUACCAACCCGAUGCAAACUGCGAAUACCGGAGAAUGUUAUCACGGGAGACACACGGCGGGUGCUAACGUCCGUCGUGAAGAGGGAAACAACCCAGACCGCCAGCUAAGGUCCCAAAGUCAUGGUUAAGUGGGAAACGAUGUGGGAAGGCCCAGACAGCCAGGAUGUUGGCUUAGAAGCAGCCAUCAUUUAAAGAAAGCGUAAUAGCUCACUGGUCGAGUCGGCCUGCGCGGAAGAUGUAACGGGGCUAAACCAUGCACCGAAGCUGCGGCAGCGACGCUUAUGCGUUGUUGGGUAGGGGAGCGUUCUGUAAGCCUGCGAAGGUGGCCUGUGAGGGUUGCUGGAGGUAUCAGAAGUGCGAAUGCUGACAUAAGUAACGAUAAAGCGGGUGAAAAGCCCGCUCGCCGGAAGACCAAGGGUUCCUGUCCAACGUUAAUCGGGGCAGGGUGAGUCGACCCCUAAGGCGAGGCCGAAAGGCGUAGUCGAUGGGAAACGGGUUAAUAUUCCCGUACUUGGUGUUACUGCGAAGGGGGGACGGAGAAGGCUAUGUUGGCCGGGCGACGGUUGUCCCGGUUUAAGCGUGUAGGUGUGUGUUCCAGGUAAAUCCGGUUCACUUUAACACUGAGGCGUGACGACGAGGCACUACGGUGCUGAAGCAACAAAUGCCCUGCUUCCAGGAAAAGCCUCUAAGCAUCAGGUAACAUCAAAUCGUACCCCAAACCGACACAGGUGGUCAGGUAGAGAAUACCAAGGCGCUUGAGAGAACUCGGGUGAAGGAACUAGGCAAAAUGGUGCCGUAACUUCGGGAGAAGGCACGCUGACACGUAGGUGAAGUGAUUUACUCAUGGAGCUGAAGUCAGUCGAAGAUACCAGCUGGCUGCAACUGUUUAUUAAAAACACAGCACUGUGCAAACACGAAAGUGGACGUAUACGGUGUGACGCCUGCCCGGUGCCGGAAGGUUAAUUGAUGGGGUCAGCGCAAGCGAAGCUCCUGAUCGAAGCCCCGGUAAACGGCGGCCGUAACUAUAACGGUCCUAAGGUAGCGAAAUUCCUUGUCGGGUAAGUUCCGACCUGCACGAAUGGCGUAAUGAUGGCCAGGCUGUCUCCACCCGAGACUCAGUGAAAUUGAACUCGCUGUGAAGAUGCAGUGUACCCGCGGCAAGACGGAAAGACCCCGUGAACCUUUACUAUAGCUUGACACUGAACAUUGAGCCUUGAUGUGUAG
rnacentral:rRNA from 1 species